rnacentral:miRNA from 1 species
UUUGUAUUACGUGCGGAAAUUGUUACCAUUUUUGAGCCGAAAAUGGUAACAAAUACGGCACGUAAUACAAA